rnacentral:rRNA from 1 species
UACCAGCACCCCGAGUGGUCGGGACGAUUAUUGGGCCUAAAGCAUCCGUAGCCAGUUCUGCAAGUCCCCCGUUAAAUCCAGCUGCUCAACAGAUGGGCUGCGGAGGAUACUACAAGGCUAGGAGGCGGAAGAGGCAAGCGGUACUCAGUGGGUAGGGGUAAAAUCCUCUGAUCCAUUGAAGACCACCAGUGGCGAAGGCGGCUUGCCAAUACGCGCUCGACGGUGAGGGAUGAAAGCUGGGGGGAGCAAACCGG